UACAGAGGUCUCAAGCGUUGUUCGGAUUCAUUGGGCGUAAAGGGUGCGUAGGCGGCGUGGUAAGUCGGGAUGUGAAAUCUCGGAGCUUAACUCCGAAACUGCAUUCGAUACUGCCGUGCUUGAGGACUGGAGAGGAGACUGGAAUUUACGGUGUAGCGGUGAAAUGCGUAGAUAUCGUAAGGAAGACCAGUGGCGAAGGCGGGUCUCUGGACAGUUCCUGACGCUGAGGCACGAAGGCCAGGGGAGCAAACGGG
rnacentral:rRNA from 1 species